GCGUUCAACUUGGCUAGAACCGAACCAGACAUUAACCAGCUGGAGUGAGACUUUGACAAUGGACAAGGAGCGUCCAAGAGCUUGAACUUGGGGAGAAUGAGAACCUUUAGCUGUACUUUUAGUGUUUUAAAAGCCAAGAAUCCAGCAGGUGCUCAGGUGUUGAGGGGCUCGUCGUCACAAUAUGAAUCCAACCAGACGAUGGGUAGCUUGUGAGAACAACCAUCUCAGCUCCAACCCUUUUCCUGAGGAAGCAGAAAGCUGGUGCUCAUGUCCUGAGCCGGCAGCGGACCCUUCAGGGCGACGGCACUCCAGCUCCUCCGCAUUCCGGAGUCGGGAAGGCUUUACUCGUUCCUCCUCCACAGGUCAGCCGACUGUUUGAAGAGCUCUAAUCAGAUCUACGUGCUGGGCCUGUCGAGGGCAGGGCUGGAUUUGCAUUGUUUUCUGAAACAAUAGCUGCCUUUACGGGAGCAGAGUGAGGUGCAAGGUGCUGCUUCCGCACCCUGCAAACGAGGAGCUGCGAAGUGAGUAAGGUUCAUCUGAGAGUCAUUUUCAGAACAACAGCAGAGCAGAUUUGUCUUCCAAAAGGACACAUUCUCCUCUAAGCACUUUGUCACAUUACAGCUAGUGCUGGAGCAAUUAAUUGGAUUAAUUGGUUUACAGAAAUUAUUGACAACUACUGUAGUUGGCGAUUAAUCGUUGAAGCUGGGGUAUGUAACUUUUCUAGAAAAUGUGUUUUCACUGUUUUGCGACAGUAUGGAAUGAGACGGAUGAUCCGUGGAAAAAUGUAGUUCUCCUGUCUUCUCCCAUUGCUAAAUAGAAACAACCAAUCAGAGUCAGGAUGCAGGUUUUGGCGCUGUCUAUCACAAACUCUUGUGGCGCUGCUAACAUACGCUUUUAUUUUUGAUUUCAGGCAUUUUAGAUUGAUUUGAGGUUCAUUGCAGAAAAUGAAUCAUGCUUUAAAGAUUUUUGCUCUCGG